UACGGAGGGGGCAAGCGUUAUUCGGAAUUAUUGGGCGUAAAGGGCGCGUAGGCGGCUAGAUGUGUCAAAGGUGAAAUCCCUCGGCUCAACUGAGGAACUGCCUUUGAAACUGUCUGGCUGGAGUUCGGGAGAGGGAUGCGGAAUUCCAGGUGUAGCGGUGAAAUGCGUAGAUAUCUGGAGGAACACCGGUGGCGAAGGCGGCGAGCUGGUCCAUUACUGACGCUGAGGCGCGACAGCGUGGGGAGCAAACAGG
rnacentral:rRNA from 1 species